rnacentral:rRNA from 1 species
UACGGAGGGGGCUAGCGUUGUUCGGAGUUACUGGGCGUAAAGCGCGCGUAGGCGGCUUUGUAAGUUAGAGGUGAAAGCCCGGAGCUCAACUCCGGAAUUGCCUUUAAGACUGCAUCGCUAGAAUCAUGGAGAGGUUAGUGGAAUUCCGAGUGUAGAGGUGAAAUUCGUAGAUAUUCGGAAGAACACCAGUGGCGAAGGCGACUAACUGGACAUGUAUUGACGCUGAGGUGCGAAAGCGUGGGGAGCAAACAGG